rnacentral:tRNA from 2 species
AAAUAAGAAGUAAAAUUUACACUUAGUUUCGACCUAAAAAUUGGCAAUUGCCCUUAUUUA